UACAGAGGGUGCAAGCGUUAAUCGGAAUUACUGGGCGUAAAGCGUGUGUAGGUGGUUUGCUAAGUCAGGUGUGAAAUCCCUGGGCUCAACCUAGGAAUUGCAUUUGAUACUGGCAGACUAGAGUGCGGUAGAGGAUGGUGGAAUUCCCGGUGUAGCGGUGAAAUGUGUAGAUAUCGGGAGGAACAUCAGUGGCGAAGGCGGCCAUCUGGACUGACACUGACACUGAGACACGAAAGCGUGGGGAGCAAACAGG
rnacentral:rRNA from 1 species